CGCCUGUUUAUGAAGUUUCCCCCGUCCGGUUCCCUCACACUGCCCUUCGGUUCUAAAGUCCAGCCUGAGCAUUGCCCUGAUGCUCCCGGGAAGGAGCGGGGGGCGGGCGGCACUCGCUCGCUCGCUCGCCCAAGGUCACGGGUGGUUGUGCAGAGUCAGGAAGUGCUCCGCCGACUUGCUGCCAGUCUUCGGCCCCGGCGACACCGUUCUGAGCAAACUGUUUUGGCCAGCCUGUAAAAUCCCUGGAAAUGGACUAUUUCAGCAGAGCCUCGUGAACUGGGAAAGCACCAAAUGUUCUACCCAGGAUGAAGUUAAGGAACAAACAAGCUAGACCCGAGGGAGAGAUCAAAAAGGAGACGUUGCAGGAGGAAGUUCAAAAGGGGGCAAUUCAAAAAUGAGGCACAGGCCCCGACUAGUUUGAAAGGAUAAUAUGCAUAAGAUGGUUAAGAUUCACUAGGAGAGAAUCAACUACAGUGUGAAGUCCUGCAUCAUUUCUCCCCCAUCCAGAAACUAAUGACCAUGAUGACACCUCACAACAGUGGUGAGACAGACACAUGUCUGUUUAUGGAAGAGAAAUUUGUGACUCAGAAUAGUUCAGUAACUCGAUCAAAGUUACUGAGACAACAGAAGCAGAGCCAGGCCUCAAACCCAGGUCUUCUGAUGCCAAAGCCAGCAUUCUUUCUUGUACACCACAGCUGCCAUCUGGAACUUGAAACUGAAAUUGGAGAUCAAAGAUGAUGCUUUAUGCAAAAAAGAAACAGAAUACCAAUGACUAUAAGAAAAUGUCCUACAGCAAAUGAUUGAUGAAUGAAUACAGAAAGAAAUGGUUGAGAGAAAAGUAAAUUAUGAAUAAGGGACCACCUCAUUUGGUCAGUGCACCUGGGAACAAAGACUAAAGAGGAUAUCUGAAGAAGUAAAGACAAGUAUCUGAAUAUGCAUCAAGAAAACGACUAGCUUUCUCUAAUUUUCUUACUUAUUCAGGUGCAUGGGAUUAAAAAGUUUAGAAGCCACUGAUUUAGACAAUGAUGUAUGAGUUCAGCCUUCUUACUGAGUGUCUUGGGUUUUAUCUCUGCCUGACCUCUCCUCUGACCAAACUUCUCUCAACCUGCUGAAGGCUUGGUAAAGUGAAACAAGUUGCAAUAACUCCUCUGUAUGUACCUUUGUAUAAAUAUUUAUUCCAUGUUGUUACAUACUUGCUUGCAUAUUUUACAUUUGUCCACAUUAGUGUUGUCUUCCAUUAGUUCUGGCUACUUAAAAUACUAAGGAUAUUAAUGACUAAAUUUUCUUUUUGUAGUACCUUCCACAGACAGUAAGCUAAUUGACACCCCUGAUGCUGUUUGCUUUUGUUCCUGGAGAAAUUAUUGUAUGAUUACAGAUUUCAUUGAAUCUUAUUGAUUUUUAUAUAAAUAUUGGGUACACUUUGUAGACAUUGGGUAUGUUUGGAGAUGGCACAGUUUUUCUGGGGUUAAGCAGGUUUCGAUGAUAUUGACCUUGCUCACUUUAUGUCAAAAUAAAUCCUUAGGAAAAAUUUUGCCUCAGUCAUUUAAAUUUAUUUGGUAUUUGUCAAGAUAUAAAGAACCCACUUUCAUACCAAAAAUUGUUCUAAAUGAAAUACCUCCUCUGUGUCUUUUCUGGCCAAAACAAAUCUAUAAUUUCAUGUCUCAAUCAAUGGUUAUGUCCAUUUAAAGAUUUUCCCAUCUGGGGAUAACUAUGGUCUCCAAAACUGUACCACUGACA